rnacentral:piRNA from 1 species
UUGUGCUAGAAAAAUGUUUCU